AGGNCNUAGGACAUUAACGAACUUGAAAUCGGGAGUCAGUUGCUGGNGCGUGAAACGUACAUCGUGCACGGCUUCUGUGUUCAAUUCAACCCCUGUGCACCUCAUCGAAGCCGGUAGUCCCUUUAUCUUCUUCGUUUUGCCGGUCGCGUGCGGUGCGGACUGCGAGUAGCGAGUAAGGCGAACGCAACUCNGGUUGUCAGUAGCUUGAAACCGAAAGUGGUCUUGCCUUCACGUUCGGCCGGCGAGAGGGGGGAGAGGUCGAGGGUCGAAAGCUUUGACUUGCCAUUAAACGCUCUGUAUGUCUUGUGGAAUGUAUUAGCUCCUUCGUGGGCGAAAUAAAUACAACUUUCAACAACGGAUCUCUUGGCUCUCGCAUCGAUGAAGAACGCAGCGAAAUGCGAUAAGUAAUGUGAAUUGCAGAAUUCAGUGAAUCAUCGAAUCUUUGAACGCACCUUGCGCCCCUUGGUAUUCCGAGGGGCAUGCCUGUUUGAGUGUCAUGUUAAUCUCAAACCCCUUGUCUUUGUUGACUCGGUCGGUUUGGACUUGGAGGCGUUGCCGGCGUGCUUUUGCGCGCGUCGGCUCCUCUUAAAUGCAUUAGCUAGGCUUUGGUUCGCAUCGACGGUGUAAUAGUAAAGUGUUCGCCGGGGUGCCUGCCUAAGGAGUCCGCUUCCAAUCGUCUUCGGACAAGGUCCUUUGACCUUUGCAUAUAUCUUGACCUUUGACCUCAAAUCAGGUAGGGACUACCCGCCGAAC
rnacentral:rRNA from 1 species